CAAAGUGCUGGGAUUACAGGCGUGAACCACCAUGCCCAGCCAAUUUAAUGGACACUUAACUUAUCCAUAACCCCUCCAGUUAUUAUGCCAUACCAGUAUAUAACUGGCUGAAGAUUAAUCACAUUUUGCAGAACGUGAGCCAUGGUGAUGGAAGCCUCUUCCAAACCAAAGUGCUUAAUAAGUGCUCGUGAGGACCAUACAAUGUGGAAGGAACCUGGGUCCCUGAAAAUUCCCACAGAAGGCUACUGACCAAGAAAUCUUUCAAAAGACUAUGACAGGAGCAAAAACUACAUUUUUAUUGGGUUAAACUACAGAGAUUUCUGGGUGUAUCUGUUACAGCAACUGGUGUUAAUUAAACAGAGAAGAGCACCGUUCCAUUUUCUCUUUAAGGUUGGAGUAUUAAAUUGCCUCUAUUGUCUCUUUUACGGUAUUGAUAUUUUUUGAUUGAUUGAUCGACCAGGUUUCUUUACUAUCAAUUCUUCACCUUUAAUGGGCCCUCUUUAUAUUUUUUCUACAUAUCCCUGCAUUAUAUUUUCUUGAUGUUUCCCGGGACAUCUUAG
rnacentral:lncRNA from 1 species